rnacentral:lncRNA from 1 species
UCCAAGAAGGCCAAGACUCAGAACGAUGAGGAGGUCAAAUCUGAGGUCGAAGAUGAGGGUAGCGAUGAGGUAUAAACAUUGAGCAUUUUGGUUGAUGGUUGGUUUAUGUUUGUAGCGCCCAAUGAUGUUUACCCGCUAGUGCUUUUAGUGACACUCUUGAUUUUUCUGUCUGCAGGAAAACGAGGACGAUGAUGAGUAAAUAGUGUAUCAGAGUAUGAGGUAGCAAAUUGGGUGUUGGGUCCCCGCUUAGUGUACUAGUUUGCUAUCCUGCUAUCCUCAGUGUUAGAUGAUGAGAUUUGGAAGUAGAUGUUGUGUUUGUGUGUUAAGGGGGCCCUUUUAGACUUGUGGACUCAUGGUUUGAGAAGUUGCUUAGUAGUGUAUUAGCAGAGAGGAAGCUGAGAAUGCUACCAGCUGUUCCAAUGCUUUUCUCUUGCUAACCACCUGUGUAAGAACUUGUUUUCAUUCGCUAAUCUGAUGACUGCCCAGCCAUUGGCUCUUGGUUAAUUUCGCCUUAAAUUUGUCGUGGUUACUUCUUCUGUGUGCUACUGUGUGUAAUCUAUCUGCUUCGUUUGGCUUUUUGUAACUCGGUUGAAUUCUUAGCUGUGAC